ACAACAUUCGGACCGUCGGUCUACCGAGCAAUACCACCCGCUCGGUGGAAGAUCCUUCCAUUGUUAG
rnacentral:pre_miRNA from 1 species